GGGCACUANAACUUAGAUAGCAAAAUGCUACCUAUCCGCCAGAGAACUACAAGCAAAAUACUUAAAACUCAAAGGACUUGGCGGCAUUCCAUAUCAACCUAGAGGAGCCCGUCCAGUAAUCGAUAAUACGCGCUAAACCCUACCAUUUUUGGCCACUCCAGCCUAUAUACCGCCGUCGUCAGCUAACCUUGUGAAAGAAAAGAAGUAAGCACAAAAGCCCUCGCUAAAACGUCAGGUCAAGGUGUAGCUAAUAAAAUGGGUGUGAUAGGCUACAUUUUCUAUAAUAGAACACACGGAAAAUACAAUGAAACCUUGUAUUUGAAGGCGAAUUUAGAAGUAAACUAAGAAAGGAUCCUUAUUUUAACACAGCCCUGGAAUGCGCACACACCGCCCGUCACCCUCCUCAAAAUUAGAUGAGGCAAGUCGUAACAUGGUAAGCGUACUGGAAAGUGCGCUUGGAUUUU
rnacentral:rRNA from 1 species